rnacentral:rRNA from 1 species
AUUGAACGCUGGCGGCAUGCCUUACACAUGCAAGUCGAACGGCAGCACGGGAGCAAUCCUGGUGGCGAGUGGCGAACGGGUGAGUAAUAUAUCGGAACGUGCCCGGUCGUGGGGAUAACGUAGCGAAAGCUACGCUAAUACCGCAUACGAUCUACGGAUGAAAGCGGGGGAUCGCAAGACCUCGCGCGAUUGGAGCGGCCGAUAUCAGAUUAGGUAGUUGGUGAGGUAAAGGCUCACCCAAGCCGACGAUCUGUAGCUGGUCUGAGAGGACGACCCAGCCACACUGGGACUGAGACACGGCCCAGACUCCUACGGGAGGCAGCAGUGGGGAAUUUUGGGACAAUGGGCGCAAGCCUGAUCCAGCAAUGCCGCGUGCAGGAUGAG